GGGGUUGUGGCUCAGUGGUAGAGCACUCACCUAGCAUGUGUGAGGCACUGGGUUCAAUACUCAGCACCACA
rnacentral:tRNA from 1 species